rnacentral:rRNA from 1 species
AUUGAACGCUGGCGGCAGGCCUAACACAUGCAAGUCGAACGGUAACAGAAAGCAGCUUGCUGCUUUGCUGACGAGUGGCGGACGGGUGAGUAAUGUCUGGGAAACUGCCUGAUGGAGGGGGAUAACUACUGGAAACGGUAGCUAAUACCGCAUAACGUCGCAAGACCAAAGAGGGGGACCUUCGGGCCUCUUGCCAUCGGAUGUGCCCAGAUGGGAUUAGCUAGUAGGUGGGGUAAGGGCUCACCUAGGCGACGAUCCCUAGCUGGUCUGAAGGGAUGACCAGCCACACUUGAACUGAGACACGGUCCAGACUCCUACGGGAGGCAGCAGUGGGGAAUAUUGCACAAUGGGCGCAAGCCUGAUGCAGCCAUGCCGCGUGUAUGAAGAAGGCCUUCGGGUUGUAAAGUACUUUCAGCGAGGAGGAAGGCGUUGUGGUUAAUAACCACAGCAAUUGACGUUACUCGCAGAAGAAGCACCGGCUAACUCCGUGCCAGCCGCCGCCGUAA